rnacentral:SRP_RNA from 1 species
GGCUCGGUCCCAAGCAACGUCCUGGCCGGGAAAUCGGGUCAGGUGGGAAACCAAGCAGCCCAGCUUUGCCAGCCCGUGUGCCGUGGAUCGCCGAGCCGGA